AUUUUCACAGCGAAGCGUUCGAGAUACGCUAUCGAGACUGGAUUUAUUCCGUUGAUGGAGGUUAGCGAGAGUGCAAAGACGAAACCCGGCGAACUGGAUUAUUUCUUUUUAAUUAAUAUGGCAGUGCCGUGGGCCUCGAAAGCAGGGUGCUGGAAUCGGUAGAACGAGGUAGAACGGCCGCCGUUUAACGAGUCAUUGGGAAAUUUUACGCGUAAUAAAUGCCUUUUGCGUCGAUCAUUUUGACUCGUAAUUAUUCGACGAACAUAUGGCUGUAUUAAAUUUGCUAUUUAUAAAAUAUAUAAAUAGUAAAAUAGUAUUGUAAUCUUAAACGUUAGAACGAUAUUGAAAUAUCAGAUAUUUAAAGAUCCUUGCGUAUCGAUUAUAGAGGGAGUAAAUAUCAAGCAUUAAGUAACUAAGUAAGUGCGUAGUGAAUAAUAAAAUAAUUAAAGAAACUAUGUACCUAUAUAUAUGUAUGUAUAUACAGUAAAGAUUUUGAAAUAUUGAAUAUUACAAAAAAUAUUUAGGAAAUGGUUCUAAAUAUAAAGAAAUAAUUGUGAUGUAAAAUUAUAAUCAUAAUUUAUAAUUGUAAGUAUAGAUAUAAAGAUGUAUUAAGAUGUAAUAAUUAUUAAGAUUUCCUGAUUCAAUAAUACGUCUUAAUCAAUUAUUUUUGCCGAAGUUGUAGUAGUGUAAUGGUUAACUAAUAUCGUAUUGCAGUAAGGCACGAAGGAUAUGUGAAGCACGAAUUGCAGUAAUACCUUUCUAAAAGCUCGCAUUUAACAAAAAGAAAAUAUGGUCUGCGCUAUGGGCUACGUAGUAAUUCCAUUCAACAGCGUUCAAGUAUUCGCAACUCUUAUCAACCUGUACAAAAACCACAUGUAUUCGUUCACGAAACGUAUUAACAAACUUCACGUUAUCACAAGCCAUUUCCAGGUAUCUGUACAGGCAUAAUUCUUCCCACUGUUUUCGAUCCUCGCUCCUGAUCAACCUUUCCUUUGUUCUGGCUGCGAAAUUAAUUUCGGGCGAUCCGUUCUCGGUAAUUAAACAGUGUAUAAAAAUGUGUGCACAAGAUAAGAGACACGCAAUGGUAUUCUCGAACAUUGUUGCAAAGAAACGGAUGCGAACCAGCGAGCAUGAUUACGUGCUUUCAUUCGUUUAUUCGUGGAACAGUUUCUUUUUCUCUUUGUGGUGAUAAUUUCUUGAUUAGCGAACCUAACCCUUUUAGUAGGUAAACCUUUAGGCGGCGUUGCUUGUGCAGCUAUUAUACCUACGGUACGAUACAUCUCAGCGAUAAAGCUGGUAUAAUAUUUUACGAGGACUAGAGAAACACGAUAAGUCAUAUUUUCCGUUUUUCAUGGAGCAGGCCUUUUUUGAGAUAAAAAGAAUAAUAUUUUAUGAGGACCAGAGACGCACGUUAAGUUAUAUUUUUUGUUUUUCAUAGACAAUAUAUAUUACACAAUGUGUUUUUAUUUAGUUUUACCGUUAAAUAUACAUCUUUACCACUCUCAUUAAAGGACGAUCAAAUUUCGAAACGAUUAAACUUGAUAUUAAUCUGGAUAUACUCCCUCUGUUUUUUAAGUAUUUUUCACGUUUUUAGUCGAGCAGAUUUCGACGAGUGGUAUUUGCACAAAUAACAAAAUUUCCGUCACUGAUAGUUUCGAUGCAAGACAUCGAUUAUUUAUACAUUUUUAUCCGAAUUCCAUUUAUUGGGUAGAAAUUUUAAUUAAUUUCAGAUUAGACGAACUCCAACCGACUGAAUGAACUUAUCCGAACACGAAUUCCUCUGGCGUGAAUGAAAAACUACAAUUAACGGAGUGAAUCCAUACAAACGUUAUAUGAACUGUUUACCUUCCGUGAAAUUCAGAUAAACGAAGGUCCGCUUUACACCUACACGGAUCUUUCGUGCAGUCGGAAAGGUUGAUACGUAUAAUUUGCUGUCUGAACAUUAUGCAACGGCGUUGCGUGAUGACACGACAGAAGAAGUUGAAGUUUCUUGACGGAGGCGCACGCGAGCUCAACAAUUAGCCCGACGCGCGUACACGUCGUCGAAUUUCUCGAAUUUAUCGAUCGAUCGCCUUGAUAGCUGCAAGACGAAUGAUCCUCUCUCGCUUUCCGUAAUUACUGCUCUUGAGACUGAUACGAUGCCUCUGUAAUCUUGUAGAUCGGAAUAACGAUCGAUGUUCGGCCAGGCAAGUUUUGAAUACAUAUUGUAGCGUGUGUAUGUGGUAAUGUGCGGACCACGUUCAAUUCUCAGCGGGUAAAUGGGAGAUGAAAUCGUGCUUCGUAUAAAUUUCGCGUAACUAUUAAUUCGCAGUUGCGAAAUAUUUCGGAGUUUACCACGUAAGUAUUUUGUACCUUAACUCAACGAAACGAAGUUCGUUUAGAACGAAACAGGUGACGACUAAAGUUACUUAAAUCUUUGAAUAUUUAAAAAUCAAUUUAGUUCGAUAUCUAUAUACAUAAAUCUCCAGAUACCCAAUGUUAUUCGAUUGUCUUGGAAACAUUGAAAUUUCUAAAUAUUGAAAAUUCAAUUGUCUGGAAAUAUCGAAAUCUGCAAAUAUUCGAUGCACGAAUAAGAUCUUUAAAUAAUUGAAACUUGAUUUUCUAGAUGUUGUCGGACUCUAAACUAUUUUUAAUUACUUUAAAAAUAUUGUAUAAUAUAAUAAUAAUAUAUAAUAAUAUAAUAUACUGUAUAAUAAAAUAAUCUCCAAAA